UAAGGAAUAUUGGUCAAUGGACGCAAGUCUGAACCAGCCAUGCCGCGUGAAGGAUGAAGGUCCUCUGGAUUGUAGACUUCUUUUAUCUGGGACGAAAACGGGAUUUUUAUCUCAAUUGACGGUACCAGAGGAAUAAGCACCGACUAACUACGUGCCAGCAGCCGCGGUAAUACGUAGGGGGCAAGCGUUGUCCGGAUUUACUGGGUGUAAAGGGCGCGCAGGCGGGAUAAGAAGUCAGUGGUGAAAUCCUACAGCUUAACUGUAGAACUGCCUUUGAUACUUUUAUUCUUGAGUUCGGGAGAGAGAGACGGAAUUCCAGGUGUAGUGGUGAAAUACGUAGAUAUCUGGAAGAACACCAGUUGCGAAGGCGGUCUCUUGGUCCGACACUGACGCUGAGGCGCGAAAGCGUGGGGAGCAAACA
rnacentral:rRNA from 1 species